GGGAAUGUAGCUUAAUGCUCUAGCACUUGCCUAACACGUGUGAGGUCCUGGGUUUGAUCCCCAGCACCCCCA
rnacentral:tRNA from 1 species